rnacentral:lncRNA from 1 species
AUGAAUGAUCUGACAUCUUCCUCAGGCUCCUUCCAGCCCCACUUCACUGCCUUCCCUCUCUCACUCCUGCCUUUGGAGAGGACUCAUCCUAUCACAUCUGCCCACUGUCUCAGCAGAAAGUGGUCAAAUACAGUGGGCCUCACCAGGGCACUGCUUGCUAAGGGCUCUGCAGUUCUGCCAGGCUGCAGGCAGAGGUCUGAGUCUCUAGUCCAGGUUCCUCCCAGACUGGACUCAACAGAAACAAACAGAUCGGAGGAUCACUGGAACAGAUUAGAAGAUGCAGAAACAACUACAGACAUACUCAGCCACCUCAUCUUUGACAAAGGAGCCAACCACCCUUAUUGGAGGAAAGAUAGCCUAUUUAAUAAAUGGUGCUGGAAAAAAUGGAUUUCAACCUGCCAAAGAUUAAAACUAGACCCAUAUCUAUCAUCAUGCACUAAACUAUGAUUGAAAUGGAUUAAAAGAUCUAAAUAUCAAAACAGAAACACUAAACUUGCUAGAAGAUAAGUUAGGUAAAACUCUUGAAGACAUUGGCAUAGGAAAAGACUUUACGAACAAAUCUCAGUAGCACAGGAACUAGCACAAAGAAUCAACAACUGGGAUUUCAUCUUAUUAAAAAGCUUCUUCACUGCAAGAGAAACCACCAACAGAGCUAAGAGACAACCUACAAUGUGGGAAAAAUUUUUUACCAGCUGUUCCUCAAAGGACUACUGUCUAGAAUAUAUAAAGAACUGAAAAAAAUCAGACCCCCCUCAAAUUCAAAGACCCAAUUCAAAAAUGGGCAUCUGAAAUCAAGAGACAUUUCUUAGACAAAGAAGUAAAAGCAGCAAAUAAAUAUAAGAAAAAAUGUUCAACAUCACUGGUCAUUCGAGAGAUGCAGAUGAAAACAACACUGAGAUUCCACCUCACCCCAGAAAGAAUAGCUACUAUCAAGAAAUCAACCAAUAACAAAUGCUGGCAGGGCUGUGGGGAGAAAGGAACCCUUCUCCAUUGUUGGUGGGAGUGCAGACUGGUGCAACCACUGUGGAAAUCAGUAUAGAGAUACCUCAAAGAACUAGGACUAGAGGUCCCAUUUGACCCAGCUAUUCCCCUGCUGGGUAUCUUCCCCAAAGAAUUAAAAGAAUCAUACCACAGUGAUAUAUGUGCACCCAUGUUUAUAGCGGCACAGUUUGUAAUAGCUAAAGCUUGGAAAAAGCCCAAAUGCCCAUCAACUGGAGACUGGAUAAAGAAAAUGUGUUUUUUUUAUAAAAUGGAGUGCUACUCAGCCAUAAAGAACGAGAAACUAGAGACAUUUAUAGCUAAAUGGAUCCAUAUUGAGGCCAUACUCUUAAGUGAAAUAAAUAGGACACACGUGUAAAUACUGAAUAGUUUCUCUAGCGUAAGAAACUGAACGUGUAAAUAAGGAUUAAGAUGAAUAACUGAUAAUUUGAAAUAGGAAGAAAAGGUCUAAAGGGGUAGGGGAAGUGGGAGAGGAAGGGGUAAGGAAAGAAGGGAAAGGAAAAAAUAUGAGAAAAUUAAAAAAUGGAAACAAAGUCUUUGUAAAUAGGGAAGGGCGCACAGGUAAUGGGGAAAAAAACAAGACCAAGAUACAUCAUGUACAGGUACAAACACCCAAUGAUAAAUGUAAAUGUAUUGUAUACCUAAAAUGUACCAAUAAAAGAAUUUAAGAAAAAAAAAAGAAGUGCGAUAGUUUAGAUCUGGAAUGUUUCUCAAAGACCCACAGGUUAAAGGCUUGAUCCCAGCCCACUGGUGGUGCUACUGGAAGUUUGUGGAAUCAUUAAAAGCCAGGGCCCAGGCUGCUACUGCUGCUCAUCUGUUGCUGCGUUCUGCCUGCUCUGGGAUGCCCCUCUGCCAUGCCACCCUGCCUUCGAGCCAGCUCACUGUGGACUGAAACCUCUACGAACCUGAGAUGAAAUAAACCUUUCCUCCUUUGGAAAAAAAAAAAGCCAGGGCCCAGUAGAAAGCCUUCACUGGGGGCGUGCCCUUGAGAAGAAUCGUGGAACCACCUUCUUCUUCUUUCUCUCUUCCAUUUUUUCUCAGCCAUGAGGUGAGAGGUUGUGCUGUGUCAUUGCCCACAUAGUAAUGAUGUACUAGCACAGGUGCAAAGCAAUAGGGCCACAAUUCCGGACUGAAACCCUAAAACUAUGAGGCAGAAUAACUCUGUUUCUUCAUAAACAUUAAGUCUGGCAUUUGUUACAAUAACAGAUAGCUGACUAACACAGGCAUCUUCUUUCUAUUCUCCCCACUGUCUGGAGUCAGUUCCUCUCCAGUUGUCCCUUAACCUCCAUAAUCACUCCCUGACCCCCACCAUGCCACAGGCAU